UUUUCUUUCACCGCGAACCUCGCGUCGCGUCUCGCUCAGCACGCCACCGAGCCCCGCCACCGUUCCUCUUUCUCUCGCCAACGCGCCCCGCUAGAAACCAAGCCACCCUCCUCCUCCCGUCCCUGUCCGUCCGUGGCCCGUCGGCCGCCCACCAGCGGCACCGGCAGCGCGGGCGCUGCAGCAGGAUGCGGAGUUCGCAGUGGCUGGGAACCGACGGGCUGUGGCGAGCGCGGCGGAGGCAUGACUCGGCGGCGGAUUCCCUCCCUCUACCCUCUUGCCCCCUCCCUCUUCUUCCUCCUCUGCCGACCCCAUCCUCAGGAAGCUUCACGUCGUCUCCAACCCCAAUCUUCUGCUCUUUUCUUGAAAUCCGAAGGCAAAAUCGAUUCACAGGGUGGUAAACAAUAAUUUCCCUGAUUCAAUUUGGGGAAAAAAUGGCCGGGACUAGCAUAAUCAAAGGGGAGAUCGACCACCAUGGUGGUGGUUGGGCGACUGCGCCUCCGAUGUCGCCAUCUACGAGCGUUCAGUCGCCCGUCGAUCAGAAGAUGCCCAAUAUUUUUGAGGGAAAGAAGAUGCCCAAUUCGUGAGCACCAACGGCGGCGACGCGGCCAUGGACGCCGUCAGGGCCGUGCUCCCGCGAUGCAGCCACCUUGAGCGAGGCAUCGAGGAGCGCCUCGUCUGCUGUUGGGCAUCCUUGUUGCACGACCUGCUCCGACACGCAGACGCCUGCGCCUAGAAUAUGCGCGUGAACGAUGAGGCCGAGCUCGAGUGCUCGACCACGGGAACGACGCGUCCUGGCUGCCACUGACCACAUAGCACGAGCUCCGUCAAGAAGAGCUGUUGUGCAAUGCACGUCUCAACUAAUCGAUCUGCUUCUGAAGAUGGAAAUUAAGUUCAGAGUUGUAGCAAACAAAGGUACAUCUUGUGUUGAUAUGCUUCAGAGUUUAGAUGCUUGACCUGCUUUUUUUUGCGGGAAAUGCUUGACCUGCUUUAACUUUGAGUAAUUGUGUACUUGAUCAUCAAUUCAUCAUGUUUAUCUGCGCCAAGCCAAACAGCAUCUUCUGAAAAUCAAGUAUUCCUCCGAUCUUAAAUUGUUGUCUCAAGUUUGCCCAAAUAUGAAUGUAUCUAUUUUUAAAAAAUGUCUAGAUACAUGUAAUAUUUCGACAACAAUUUAGGACCUGAGGAGUACAUUGCAACACUUCCGUUGGUCGGCUUCUGAAGAUUGAAGUUGGUCAAACAAAUGUACAUCUUCUGAAAGAACACUUCCGUGCUCCUUAAUUUGCUGCAUAAUUGUAAGUUCUAGAAUAUGCUUCGUGGAGCUCAAGGUUCUUCUCCGCUAGGAUUUAUUUUUGAAUUCCUUUUGGUUUUACAACCCGCAAAUGAACUUUUCAUGUGUACAUUUGUUUUGUUCUGUUUUCAUGUGCUCAUAUUAACAUGUUGUGUUUUUACUCGUAUUUUGUUUUUUCGUAGCAGCCCACGGGCUUCUAACUAGUGCUCAAUAGUACAUUAGUGAAUUCGACACAGACAUUUCUAAUUUGAUGGAGCAUGUUCGUGUAGCGGAGCUUAGGGCAUCUUCAAUGGGAAGCCGGUACUAAUUUUCAUUUCCUGCCUUCUCUAUUCUCUUUCUCUUUUUAUUCCUUUCUUUCUCCCAGUGGACCCACAUGUCAUGCUCAAUUUAUUCCUGGUACCCGUGCACAAGCUGUUACUUUUGCAAAUAACUUGUACUUGUAUUUUUCA